CACAUAGCAAACAUUUUCUACACAUAUAUAUUUUUUUCAUACAUUUUUUUACUUAUUUCAUUAUUUUCAAAGCAGUUUUUAACACACCAAAAAAAAAAAAAACAUUAACUAACACUAAUUAAUUAUAUAUGUACAUUAUUUUAUUUUUUUGGGUAGCAUUUUACUUCAUUGGGGACUGUUAUGGUAACAAAUAAUAACAAAUAUAACAAUAUAUAAUGAGGAAAGAAAUAGAGAGAAAGAAAAAGAUGAUGAUGAUGAUGGUGAUGAUGAAAGGAGUAAUUCGAUAACUUUCAAAAAACAAAUAAGGAAAAAGGAGAAUGGAGGUUUUUUUUUGUGUUGGUGAUACUGGUGAUGGGAAAAAGGAGAAUGGAGGUAUUUUUUUGUGUUGGUGAUAUUGGUGAUGGGAAAAAGGAGAAUGGAGGUUUUUUUUUUGUGUUGGUGAUACUGGUGACGGGAAAAAGGAGGGAUAAGUUUUUUUGUGUGUUGGUGAUACUGGUGAUGGGAAAAAGGAGAAUUAAGUUUUUUUAUGUGUGUUGGUAAUACUGGUGACGGGAAAAAGGAGAAUGAAGAUUUUUUUGUGUGUUGGCGAUACUGGUGGCGGUGAUGGUGGUGAUGAUGGUGAUGACGGUGAUGUGAGCAAAGGAGGUGAAGGACGUGACUCUGAAAAUGAUGACAGGAUAAUGAGCAGGAGAAUGACAUGAAAAAGAGGAAGAGGAGGAGGAAGAAGAAGAAGACGAGGAAGAGGAGGAGGAUAGAUAGAAGAACGAAUAUGAUCAAGUAGAAGAGGAAAAGGAGGAGGAGGAGGAAAGAAACAGAAGGGAAAGAAAGAAAAAAGAAAAGAAAGUAAGAAAACAACUUAAAACGGGUUAAAAAAUGAGUGAAAGAAAGAACUGCAUGAAAAUAGUGAUAAUAAUAAUGAUAAUGAGGGAGAGAAAAUGAGGUAAAAAAGGAACACGAGAAAAAAUAGGAAAAUAGAAAAGAAAAAAAUGGAAAGAUUAUGAAAAUGAUGAUGAUGAUGAUGAUGAAGAUAAAGAUAAAAUUCAAGGGAAAAUGGGAAUACUAAAGAGAGAGAUUAAGAAACAAAACAAAGAAAAUAAGAAAAAAUGAAGAAAGAAAAAAAGAAAAUCAGGCUUGAGCACAACAAAACAAAAAAAGAAAACAAAAAUAAGAAAAAAUAACAAUAACGAAGAUUAAGAAGAAGGAAAAAGACGAGAAGAGAACAAGGAAAAGAAGAUGAAAAGGAAAGAGAGAAAAAUGAAAGAAAGAAAGAAAAAAAAAGGAAAUUGGAGACAGAAGGAAAAGGUCAUAAGGUUUGUUUGUAGAGGAGAUAGAAAACACACACACACACACACACACACACACACACACACACACACACACACACACACACACACACACACACACACACACACACACACACACACACACACACACACACA